AAACCUAAACAUUUCCUAGACCGCACAUCCUGUCCUUUCUCUCAGUGACUGACAUAAAGGGGGACAAAAACUACUAUAAAGAAAGAGAAAUAAUUCCCUCUGGAACUGGAUGCUUUGCAGCAGUGACCACCUGAUAAGAAUCUUAAAAGCUCUAAUAAUGCUUGAACAAUGACUCCGAAUCCCAGGGGAGUUGAAACGGAGGCUUCAUGGAUGCAGAGCAGGUCCAAAGAGCAGAGAGAGAAAAAAGAUGAAGUCAUAAAAACCAUCUCCUCCAUUGUUCAUAACAUCUGCACAGUCAGAGAGAUUUAAGGAGUGGCAAAAGCAAAUGAGAAACAAUGCCUCCAGUCAGCAGUUUCUUCAGAUUUGUUGCAAGACAGGCUGCUACCGGAGAUCCUUCCUGUCAAUGCCUCACCAUUCACAACAUU